rnacentral:rRNA from 1 species
UACGGGGGGGGCAAGCGUUGUUCGGAAUUACUGGGCGUAAAGGGCUCGUAGGCGGCCAACUAAGUCAGACGUGAAAUCCCUCGGCUUAACCGGGGAACUGCAUCUGAUACUGGAUGGCUUGAGUGCGGUAGGGGAGACUGGAAUUCCUGGUGUAGCGGUGAAAUGCGCAGAUAUCAGGAGGAACACCGGUGGCGAAGGCGGGUCUCUGGGCCGAUACUGACGCUGAGGAGCGAAAGCGUGGGGAGCGAACAGG